rnacentral:rRNA from 1 species
AAAGGAAUAGACGGGGGCCCGCACAAGCGGCGGAGCAUGUGGAUUAAUUCGAUGCAACGCGAAGAACCUUACCUGGGUUUGACAUGCGCCAGACGCCGUCAGAGAUGGCGGUUCCCUUGUGGUUGGUGUGCAGGUGGUGCAUGGCUGUCGUCAGCUCGUGUCGUGAGAUGUUGGGUUAAGUCCCGCAACGAGCGCAACCCUCGUUCCAUGUUGCCAGCACGUGAUGGUGGGGACUCAUGGGAGACUGCCGGGGUCAACUCGGAGGAAGGUGGGGAUGACGUCAAGUCAUCAUGCCCCUUAUGUCCAGGGCUUCACACAUGCUACAAUGGCUCAUACAGAGGGCUGCGAGACCGUGAGGUGGAGCGAAUCCCUUAAAGUGGGUCUCAGUUCGGAUCGGGGUCUGCAACUCGACCCCGUGAAGUCGGAGUCGCUAGUAAUCGCAGAUCAGCAAUGCUGCGGUGAAUACGUUCCCGGGCCUUGUACACACCGCCCGU